CCAGUUUAUACCGGUUUUAUCUGCUAAAACCAAUCGAGCAUGUCGAUGUAUAAAUAUCUACUGGGGUCGCAACCCACUAAUAAGCGAAAGCUAGACACGAAAGCAGGUAAUAAAAUAUACGAUGAAACUAAGAGAGCACGCAAGGUUCAAGCGUCGUGGUACACUGAAUUUCCAUGGAUGAGUGUUGUUUCCGACCAAAGUCAUGAAAGUGUACACUGUGAAGUGUGUCGCACAAUAUACUCCCCACUAGCAAACCAGAAGAAUCCGGACAAGUACAGAAAGUGGGCAACGGGGCCGUUUGUGACUGGUUCCCAGAACAUAAAACAUGACAGUUUGGUCAGUCACAGUCAGUCAUUUGGACACACACAUGCACAGGAGGUGCGUGACGCCAAAGCCUCCAAACCAGGGCAGUCACUAGCGGAGCAAGCGAUCCAGUCACUUAACAAGAAAAACUUUGAGCGAUUAGAUAAACUCUUCCGAAAUGCUCAUGCACUAGCAAUGAAAUCAAAGCCAAUCAGCGACUUUGAAUGGCUGUGUCAGUUAGAUGAAAAGAAAGGUGUAGACAUCGGUUCAACCUAUCGUUCCAGCUGUAAGACAUUUCUUGUUGCGAUAUCUGAGGUAACGAGAAAUGCAAUAAAAGAUGUUCUCAAGAACGCAAACCAUAUAUCACUUAUGAGCGAUGGUUCCACCGACAUUUCCGUUGUUGAAAACGAAAUUGUUUAUCUGCAUAUGUGUAUUGCUGGUGUGACGUACUCAUACUUUCUGGGGCUAAUUGAAUGUGAAUCAGGAAAUGCUACAGGCAUUUACAAUGCAAUUAUGAAGGCGUUGAACUUCGAGGGGUUGAGUAAAGAAGACAUUCUUAAAAAGGUCGUAGCUUUCGUUGGUGAUGGUGCCAGUGUAAAUACUGGGGAAUUAAAUGGCGUAAUCUCCAUCUUUCGAAGAAAUGUUUCUGAAUCUAUCAUAAUGAUUAGGUGCAUGUCGCAUCGCGUGGAACUUGCAUUCAAGGACGCCCUCAAAUCAUCCAAUUUAUUCCAAAAAGUACAUGAACUGUUGGAACAGAUUUUCAAGUUCUAUCACAAAUCUCCGAAGCAAACUUCUGGUCUGAAGGAGGCAUUUGAAAGUCUGAAGCUGAGUGUUCAUAUGCCAACUCGCGUCGGCGGUACUCGGUGGGUAAGCCAUACCCAAACAGCUCUGAGGAAUAUGCUCAGGUCCUACAAGGCCUUAAUUCUACACUUAAGCCAGGUACAUUGAAAAUACAAAUGCAUAAUUGCAUAUUAUUUUAUUCAUGUAAUUCCAAAAUACAGUACAAAAAGCAUAAUAAAAUGGAUUGUUAUUAAGUGGGUGUUUAGGAUAAACCCAAUCCAUACCUGGUGGUAAUUUCUAUAUAAAAUAUAUAGUACUAAUAUUUACUAAUAAUAGUAAUAUACAAUACAAUAUAUAAUAUAUAAUACAGGUAAAUGUAUCACUCGCAUACAUAAUACUAUAGUACUACACAGGUGACGUAUCACAGUAUGAAUAUGAUUGUCAUAACUUUAAUGGUUUUAUACUAUAGGUUGCCAUUGUGAGAAGCCAGUCUGCAACACAGUCGAAGGCCAAGUUCCUGCUCAGCCGACUCCGCACCAAAGACGUAAUGGUCUUCGCCCACUUCCUGGUUGAUGUGCUGGUCAUCUUGGUGCAGCUGUCGAUGUGCUUACAGAAAAGAAAGUGUUGUAUCCACGAAGUCCAUCAAGAGUUGGAAGCUGCACUGACAAACAUCAAGAAGUUGGAGACCAAUCCUGGUUAUGAACAGAGAAUGAUCCAAGCUGCACUCGAGGGAAAUCAAGGCAUGUUUGAGGGCGAAAUUCUGACUGGAAAUGCCAAAGAUGUUGAUGACCAGGUCACAAGGGUUGCCCAGCAGUUGAAGAAGAAACUGGAAAACAGGUUCACUGAUGUUUCCCAGGGACUGCUCAGUGCCAGCAAGAUAGCAGACCUUCAUACCUGGCCACCUACUUAUGAUGAGGCUAUUUGUAUGUCAAUUAUUAAUAUUCAGAUAUGAUAUCCCAUAUUAUUAUUGUUGUCAGGAGACUCAGGACUCAGAACGAUUUAAGGAACUUUAUUAAAAAUAAUGAAAUAUUAUAUAUUUUUGUUAACUGUUACACUUAUUUUAAUUUGCAGCCUUUGGUGAUGACUUGGUGGCUUCUAUCAUAGAUCAUUAUCGAGAUCAUCUACUCAGUCAUCGUGUAGAAGUUGGGGCUGUGGAAGCCGAGUGGACAAUUCUAAAGCAGGCGUUGUACGAUACUGAUAGUGAUACUGAUAGGUGUGUUUCUCAAUUAGAAAAACUACUAGUUUAGCACCCACCGGUCAUCAUCUAACAAUAUUAACUAUAUUACUACAUUAUUUAUUUUCUCUGAGUCUGAUGCAAAAGACUUAAAGACAUCACUUGUCAUUUCUAUUUCAGUUACAAAGUCCACACCAUGUCGUGGGAAGAUAUAAACAAUCGUUUGGGGGAAAGAUGUCCCAACAUCCUUCAGGUCAUCGAUCUGGUCCUGUCGUUACCGGCAGGGUCUUCGGAGUGUGAAAGAGGUUUUUCGCAUAUGAAGGUAUAUAGUAUAGUCUACUCUAAUUUCAGCAAUUGGGACUUUCAUUUCUAAUUCUAUUUAUCUCUAGUGGAUAUACCAGACUAACUGCAACUAUUAUUUUAUUAAUUAUUGUCAGGCCACAAAAUCACAGUAUCGCAACCGGAUGAGGUCCACCACCAUGACGAUGCUACUGACCAUCAAGAUGCACUCGGCGGAAAUCCAGAAAUACGACCCAAGUUCAGCUAUUCACCACUGGAACCAAAACCACCACAGGAGACCCAAAUUCUUGGAGAAAAAGAGACAUAAUCCUAAUCGCGAUCUGGGGCAGGUAUCGGCAGAGGUUGAGGAUGAGGUUGAAGCAGAGGAGGAAGCCGAAUCUGACUUCUCUGAUAUAGAGUACAUCGGUCCCGGAGAAGAUGCAUAAUCUUCUUAACACGUUCAACUUCAGUGCUAACCACGUCACCAGACGUGGCAACUUUUUUUGGGGGGGGGGAAAUGUUCAACUUCUUUUUUUUGAUAGAUGGCAGUAGCUAAACAUGCAGAAAUUGAACUGGUAUUGUCUAUGCUGCGUUGUUAUCCGGAAAUAAUACAAGAUUCCUUAUUUGCACACAGAUCAAGCAUUGUAUUUGAAUGUUUUAUUAACUGAGGUGAUUUAUUUAAAAAAAAAAGUGUAACCUGUUUCAUUUAAAUAAAUCUUUGUU
rnacentral:misc_RNA from 1 species